UGCAUAUGAUGUCUCUUUCUCCUGAUGGUCUACAGAUGCCACUGGGGGUGGGGCUGUCAAGGCCAAUGUCUCAGCUGAUGCCAGAAG
ensembl:snoRNA